GGACGAACGCUGGCGGCGUGCUUAACCCAUGCAAGUCGAACGGUGAAGCGCUUUCCUUUUUGGUUGGCGUGGAUGAGUGGCGAACGGGUGAGUAACACGUGAGUAACCUGCCCCCUUCUUCUGGAUAACCGCAUGAAAGUGUGGCUAAUACGGGAUAUUCUGCGCCUGCUGCAUGGUGGGUGUGGGAAAGAUUGUGCCUUUGGGUGGUUUCGGUGGGGGAUGGGCUCGCGGCCUAUCAGCUGGUUGGUGGGGUGAUGGCCUACCGAGGCGGUGACGGGUAGCCGGCCUGAGGGUGUGGACGGUCACACUGGGACUGAGACACGGCCCAGACUGCUACGGGAGGCAGCAGUGGGGAAUACUGCACAAUGGGCGCAAGCCUGAUGCAGCGACGCCGCGUGAGGGAGGGAGGCCUUCGGGUUGUGAACCUCUUUCGCCAGUGAAGCAGGCCUGCUCCUUGUGGGUGGGUUGACGGUAGCUGGAUAAGAAGCGCCGGCUAACUACGUG
rnacentral:rRNA from 1 species